GCGCUGCUUACACAUGCAAGUCGAACGAUGACGACCGGGCUUGCUCGGUCUGAUUAGUGGCGAACGGGUGAGUAACACGUGAGUAACCUGCCCCUCACUUCGGGAUAACCUCGGGAAAUCGUGGCUAAUACCGGAUAUGAACUUCUACCGCAUGGUGGUUGUUGGAAAGUUUUUCGGUGAGGGAUGGACUCGCGGCCUAUCAGUUUGUUGGUGAGGUAAUGGCUCACCAAGACGAUGACGGGUAGCCGGCCUGAGAGGGCGACCGGCCACACUGGGACUGAGACACGGCCCAGACUCCUACGGGAGGCAGCAGUGGGGAAUAUUGCACAAUGGGCGAAAGCCUGAUGCAGCGACGCAGCGUGGGGGAUGACUGCCUUCGGGUUGUAAACCUCUUUCAGUAGGGAAGAAGCGAAAGUGACGGUACCUGCAGAAGAAGCGCCGGCUAACUACGUGCCAGCAGCCGCGGUAAUACGUAGGGCGCAAGCGUUAUCCGGAAUUAUUGGGCGUAAAGAGCUUGUAGGUGGCUUGUCGCGUCUGCCGUGAA
rnacentral:rRNA from 1 species